UUCCAUGAUGAGGACAAUCUUAAAUGUAUCCUUGCAAACACUCCCAUGCUUCUAAAAUGGUUUUUGUGUUCUGUUGUUGGAAGCUGGUAAUCUUUCCUCUUAAGGCA
rfam:Sorghum bicolor cultivar BTx623 chromosome 9, whole genome shotgun sequence.